rnacentral:tRNA from 1 species
GGAGGGGUGGCCGAGUGGCUUAAGGCAACGGUCUUGAAAACCGUCGACGGGAAACCGUUCCAGAGUUCGAAUCUCUGCUCCUCCGCCA